rnacentral:lncRNA from 1 species
CUCAGCUCCAUUCCUAAAACACAUUAUUUUCUCACAAAACAUUUUAAAUAUAGCACAAGAAAUAUUCAUCAUAUUGCUUGUACCGACUGCAACCUGAAUGCAGACUCUCUUUGAGAAGCCUCAUUUUUUUUUGCGUAUUUUAUUUUGUUAUUCAAAUGAUGAUGCAUAUUUUGCAUCAAGUUACACCUUUUUAGAGGCAGAGUUUGUUCUGUAAAAUUGGUGCAGCAUUUCCAUUUCUCACAUCUUCGCAUAACUGGUUUCUUGUCAGCAGACGUAGCCUUGUCUGAGGGAUCGGCCCUGUCAUCUGUAUCCCGGCGGGUUGGGGCCUUGGUGGUUUCCAGAUCUCUCUUCAGGAGGGUGUGCUUUCCCCAGAAAGAAGGUUAAAAUGGGGUGGGUUUUCUCAAGAUCUUUAAUAUUUCCUUCACCAAAUUUUUACCCAAAAUACAGACCCUCGUCAUCUGAGAGUCAACUUUGUCCUUGACUUAACCUUCAGGUUUUAGCCUGUCUGGCUUCCUAACGAGGGUGAGUCCUCACGAGCCAGCACAGAGACAGUGACCGGGCCCCCCGAGGCUGCACGGACCCAGCUCACCUGUCUGCAGAGGCCCGGCCGAGAGGACGAGGCCCCAAAAUGGUCCUUUUUGUUCUCUUUGUUAAAUGGGGUUUGUGACAUCACAAGGCAGCAUUUUGCCCUCAUUCUCAAAUACCAAAGUCAGUGGAUGCAGGCUUCCAGAGAGGCCGCUGCAUAGGACCUCCUGCAGACACUGCCCGACUCAUUCCUAGCCCACCAAAUCCAGCCCUGACCCACUGGGACCCUCCACGAGCCUCUGAGUGGCAGGGCCUAGCAGGGCCGCCCAAGCUGUGUGUGUGCACGGUGCCUGAGGUGCACGUCAGGGCAGCCCUGCCUGUGGCCUUAGAACAGGUCCCUCCUGCCAUCAGACGGGGGCUCCGCGAUGCCAGCCAUGGUGGGGUGCUCACCGGCCUUGGUCAGUGGCUCCUCAGCUUCUUCUCUGAGGCCCCUAAGCUGACCCUCUGGAUGCUGCCUCAAAUUCCACUAUGUGUCGUAUUCAUUUUCUGUUGCUGCUGUAACAAACUCCCAGGUUCCUGGGAUCAGGAUGAGGACGUCUUUGGGCGGCCGUCCCUCUGCCUACCACAGUAUUGAUCAAAUUGUUUUGCCCCUUUGAAUGGUUAAACAUUAAAACCAAUCAUUUAUUGAAAACCUU